UAGGGAAUCUUCGGCAAUGGACGAAAGUCUGACCGAGCAACGCCGCGUGAGUGAAGAAGGUUUUCGGAUCGUAAAACUCUGUUGUUAGAGAAGAACAAGGACGUUAGUAACUGAACGUCCCCUGACGGUAUCUAACCAGAAAGCCACGGCUAACUACGUGCCAGCAGCCGCGGUAAUACGUAGGUGGCAAGCGUUGUCCGGAUUUAUUGGGCGUAAAGCGAGCGCAGGCGGUUUCUUAAGUCUGAUGUGAAAGCCCCCGGCUCAACCGGGGAGGGUCAUUGGAAACUGCGAGACUUGAGUGCAGAAGCGGAGAGUGGAAUUCCAUGUGUAGCGGUGAAAUGCGUAGAUAUAUGGAGGAACACCAGUGGCGAAGGCGGCUCUCUGGUCUGUAACUGACGCUGAGGCUCGAAAGCGUGGGGAGCAAACAGG
rnacentral:rRNA from 1 species